rnacentral:tRNA from 1 species
AGGAAGGUUUCGUUUGUUGGAUUACGAGUUAGGCUGUAAACCUAAUGGCUUUUAGUCGUCGAAGGUUCGAUUCCCUCUCUUCCUA